rnacentral:lncRNA from 10 species
GUGCACCUGAGACUGGCUCUUCUUAGCAACUGAGGUGUGUAAGGAAUCUGAAAGUUCCAGGUGUGUCUUUGUCAGCAGUGUGAAAAUGGACCAAUACACCUGGGCUCAGCCAGAGCAGGGCAGAGGAUGGCCAGGGGACAAAGAAGGUAGAGAGACAAUGGGAUUUGAAGACCAGCUGCAGAGAGGAGUAACUUCUCUGCUGAGAGCUGCAGAAACAACCAGUGAGCAGAGAGAAGCUACCCUCUCCACUGAGAGCUUCAGAGACCUACAGAAAUGUCCUGAUAACCUGCCUGCAGAGAGGAGCUGUCCUCUCCAGGGCCUCCUCUCUGCAGAGAGCUGACCACUCGACUGGAUGGCCUGCCUAAAGAGAGGAGCUGCCCACUCCUCUGAAUUGUUUUAAUGCUAAAUAAAACUCUUCUUCUUCCCCUUCACUUGUCUGCAUACCUCAUUCUUCCUGGAUGCAGGACAAGAACUCGAGCAAAGGCGCUGCAGUGACAGAAGUUUCUGGCUAGAAUAAUCGACACGCCAGAGAUCUCAUAACAGUGUCAUUCUCAUUUGAGCUACAAAGAGAUAAUAAUGGGAUAGCAAAAUUAAAUAUACUUUGAAAUGUAAUUUUAAUAUUAGAGUAUAUUUCGCCUUGAGUUGGUAAGUUCAGGUGAACACAGUCCAUGCAGGGUUCUUAUAUGUCUGCAUUUGAUUCUUUCUGUCUCUGAUGGAGAAAGCAACCACUAGGCAAGAAAACAGAGUGUGUACAUGAUUUCAGUGAUUCUUUUCGAUCUCAG